CCAGUGUUGGCGAAAGCUUUGAGAACUUUUGGAUCUGCGUCGUAGAGUUUUACUUUUGUUGCUCCAAUGCAUUUUAUUAGGGUUACUACGUUUUCUGGUGAUGGUAGGUUGUUUGCUAUUUGACCAUAGUUUAUUCCGAUUGAGUCUGUUUUUGUUGUUAGUCCUGCAGAAAGAGGACACUGUUUUCAGUGAUAUCUUACAUUUUAAGACUAUAUAA
rnacentral:lncRNA from 1 species